UACAGAGGUCUCAAGCGUUGUUCGGAUUCAUUGGGCGUAAAGGGUGCGUAGGCGGCGCGGUAAGUCGGGUAUGAAAUCUCGGAGCUUAACUCCGAAACUGCAUUCGAUACUGCCGUGCUUGAGGACUGGAGAGGAGACUGGAAUUUACGGUGUAGCGGUGAAAUGCGUAGAUAUCGUAAGGAAGACCAGUGGCGAAGGCGGGUCUCUGGACAGUUCCUGACGCUGAGGCACGAAGGUCAGGGGAGCAAACGGG
rnacentral:rRNA from 1 species